rnacentral:rRNA from 1 species
UGGUGGAGUGAUUUGUCUGGUUAAUUCCGAUAACGAACGAGACCGUCGCCUGCUAAAUAGUCACAUCAACUUUGGUUGAAUGCUUGGCUUCUUAGAGGGACUCUGGGUGCUUCUAGCCCAGGGAAGUUGGCGGCAAUAACA